GUGUCAGCCGCCGCGGUAAGACGGAGGAGGCAAGCGUUAUCCGGAAUUAUUGGGCGUAAAGGGUCCGCAGGUGGCAGUUCAAGUCUGCAGUCAAAGGUCGGGGCUCAACCCCGGAAAGGCUGUGGAAACUGAACAGCUAGAGUACGGUAGGGGCAGAGGGAAUUCCCAGUGUAGCGGUGAAAUGCGUAGAGAUUGGGAAGAACACCGGUGGCGAAAGCGCUCUGCUAGGCCGAAACUGACACUGAGGGACGAAAGCUAGGGGAGCGAAAGGGAUUAGAUACCCCUGUAGUCCUAGCUGUAAACGAUGGAUACUAGGCGUGGCUCGUAUCGACCCGAGCCGUGCCGUAGCUAACGCGUUAAGUAUCCCGCCUGGGGAGUACGCACGCAAGUGUGAAACUCAAAUGAAUUGACGGGG
rnacentral:rRNA from 1 species